AAAAAAAAAAAAAAAAAACUAGAACCUCUAUUUUGAGAAGGCCACCAGCUAAGUUUUAGCCCAUGGAGAGGAGGGGUGGGCUCUAAAUCGGAUCACAAGGUGUUGAUUCCAUUUCCAAUUCAAUCUGAGUUAAGUUAAUACAACAGUCCAAAAUUAUUUCAAGUUUUUUUUUCCUAAAAAAUAAAAACAUGUUCAAACCAAACCAGACCACCGGUUUUGGUUCAAGGGGGGUAGCGACUAGAAUCAACCCUCCCCCAAGAUGGUUCCAAUCUCAGGUUUGACUGAGCCAGUUCCAGUCUGGUUCCAGGACUGGACAGGAACAUGGCCAUGUUUUACCUCUACUUGUAUGCCUAGAUUCUGUACUGAACUAAAUUUAAGGCUUAAUCACAAAAUAAAGGACCUGAACAUUUUCUCCAAUUUCCAGUUAAAGAAUGAAACUUUGAGAACAGCCAAUUGUAGCCUAUACUUUUUUUGGGUGAUACAAUUAUUGCCUCUACUUCUUCGUUGUGAUUGUGGCCAAGUCACUUAAAUUUAUAUAAUUACACAUAAUAUUAAUAUAUAAAUGAAUAAAUCAAACACACACUAUAUAUUUGGUUUUUAAAAUUUUUAUGCCAUGGAGCAAGAUCCAACUGGUCAAAGAUUGUAAAAUAACUAAAAAUAUUUUUCAUAACUUCUAAUUUUAGUUACCUUUUUACUAUAGCUGAUUACACACACAAAUGCAUAUAUUUAACUUUUUAUUGCCACAUGGCCUACGCAUAAAAUUCUACAGGCCAUGGAAUGAGAAUGUGAUGGACUUGGGAGGUUAAGGGAUUAGAUAAUUACCUUACAUAGGGGAAACUCAUUCCCCCUUAUAU
rnacentral:misc_RNA from 1 species